rnacentral:pre_miRNA from 1 species
AAUGAAACUGCUAAGCAAUCUGGUAAUUUAACAUUUUUAAAAAACUGUCAGACUGCUUUCCAAAGUGGCUGUACCAUUUUACAUCCCUGCCAGCAAA